UCCCUAUGGGGUGCAGCAGGCGCGAAACCUCCACAAUGCACGAAAGUGUGACGGGGCUACCCCGAGUGCCGUCCGCUGAGGAUGGCUUUUCCUUGGUGUAACUAGCCGGGGGAAUAAGGAGAGGGCAAGACUGGUGUCAGCCGCCGCGGUAAUACCAGCUCUCCGAGUGGUAGGGAUGAUUAUUGGGCUUAAAGCGUCCGUAGCCGGCUUAGCAAGUUUCCUGUUAAAUUCAGCGACCUAAUCGUUGAGCCGCGGGAAAUACUACUAGGCUAGGAGGCGGGAGAGGUCGACGGUACUUCUGGGGUAGGGGUGAAAUCCUAUAAUCCCGGGAGGACCACCAGUGGCGAAGGCUGUCGACUAGAACGCGCUCGACGGUGAGGGACGAAAGCUGGGGGAGCGAACCGGAUUAGAUACCCGGGUAGUCCCAGCUGUAAACGAUGCGGGCUAGGUGUUGGGGUGGCUACGUGCCACUUCAGUGCCGCAGGGAAGCCAUUAAGCCCGCCGCCUGGGGAGUACGGCCGCAAGGCUGAAACUUAAAGGAAUUGGCGGGGGAGCACCACAAGGCGUGAAGCUUGCGGUUCAAUUGGAUUCAACGCCGGAA
rnacentral:rRNA from 1 species